rnacentral:lncRNA from 1 species
UUUUAUUUUAUUUUAUAUUCUUUUUAUUUUUUAUUUUUUAUAGUAUUAAUUUCAGCUCAUUUCUUAUGUUUUAUAUCUACACCCUAUUUUCUUGGUUUUUCUCCACUAAUAAUGAGGCCAAUUUUCCUUAGACCUAUUUUAGUUUUAUUUUGUUUCAACCUAACACUAUUUUUUUUUACAUGUACAUUCUCAUGCAUACUGCUUACUAUUUUAAUUUUUU